AAAGACCUUUUAGACAAGGUGAUGGAAAUGGCUGACGGGAUUGAAGUGGAAGACCUGCCCCAGUUUACUACCAGAAGUGAAUUAAUGAAAAAGCAUGAAAGCUAAGGCAGAAGAUUUAUCAUUUUCAUCAUCAGCUACAGGCUUAGGAGGAUGGGAUGUAUGUGACAUGGUCCACAGCAACUCUUAAGACUCCUGUUAUUACCAGCAUAAAGAGGCAGUUGGAAUGAAAAGGAAUUUAUCCAGAUUGCUUUUUAAAAGUUCUCAUUUUUCCAGUAGCUAUCACUGUAAAAAUGUGCAUGAUAUUUAUGUAUUUAUAAAUCAUGUACUCUCAGAUGAGUUCAUCAGCAUUAUAAAAGCCCUCUUUUCUUUUUAAAUGUCAAACUUUUUGUUUAAAAUGACUUUUUUUUUAAGGUUGAUGUAAUAAAUGGCAGGUAGUGAAUUUUAUA